CCUACGUGAGGCAGCAGUGGGGAAUAUUGCACAAUGGGGGAAACCCUGAUGCAGCGACGCCGCGUGAGUGAAGAAGUAUUUCGGUACGUAAAGCUCUAUCAGCAGGGAAGAAAAUGACGGUAACUGACUAAGUAGCACCGGCUAAAUACGUGCCAGCAGCCGAGGUAAUACGUAGGGGGCAAGCGUUAUCCGGAUUUACUGGGGGUAAAGGGAGCGUAGACGGCAGCGCAAGUCUGGAGUGAAAUCCCAUGGCUUAACCAUGGAACUGCUUUGGAAACUGUGCAUCUAGAGUGAAGGAGAGGUAAGCGGAAUUCCUAGUGUAGCGGGGAAAUGCGUAGAUAUUAGGAGGAACACCAGUGGCGAAGGCGGCUUACUGGACUGUAACUGACGUGGAGGCUCGAAAGCGUGGGGAGCAAACAGGAUUAGAUACCCUGGUAGUC
rnacentral:rRNA from 1 species